rnacentral:rRNA from 1 species
UGGAUUAUGUGGAUUAAUUCGAUGCAACGCGAAAACCUUACCUACCCUUGACAUGUCCUGAAGCCUGGAGAGAUCCGGGCGUGCCCGAAAGGGAACGGGAACACAGGUGCUGCAUGGCUGUCGUCAGCUCGUGUCGUGAGAUGUUGGGUUAAGUCCCGCAACGAGCGCAACCCUUGUCAUUAGUUGCUACAUUUAGUUGGGCACUCUAAUGAGACUGCCGGUGACAAACCGGAGGAAGGUGGGGAUGACGUCAAGUCCUCAUGGCCCUUAUGGGUAGGGCUUCACACGUAAUACAAUGGUCGGUACAGAGGGUUGCCAAGCCGCGAGGUGGAGCCAAUCCCAGAAAGCCGAUCGUAGUCCGGAUCGCAGUCUGCAACUCGACUGCGUGAAGUCGGAAUCGCUAGUAAUCGCGGAUCAGCAUGUCGCGGUGAAUACGUUCCCGGGUCUU